AGAUUAAUAAACGGGUGUAAAUUGUUUUUACAUUGGCCGUGUUCAUUUAAUGUACAUGCAACGAGCGCACAUGAAAUGAGUUCAUGGGACAAGCACCAGUCUUGGGCUUUUAGUCUUCUUGAUUGGGCUUUCCAAGGCUAGAGGCUCUUAGCAUGUAAGGUUUCGAUUCCAACCGCUCAGGUUCUUGUCAGCUUCAGUGACGAAAUUAGGGUUUGUCAUCGAUCGUAUUCCUAUAAAAUCAAUCCGAUCCCAAACAUGUUUAGAGCGAAUUCGGAUAUUGCUCAAUAUCACAUUAGAUAAUAUUUGUAUAAUCCGAACAAUCGGAUCGGAUUACGCUUAAAAUAAAAAAAUUAAAAUACAAAAGCAAAUUAGAAAAUCAAAACCUAAGUUCCAUAUACUCAAACUCAACCACGCCUCAUACGAAGUUCACAAGCCCGAAGACCUCAUAUCUAAAAUAUAAAUUAUAGGGGUAUUCGCAAAUCGAAUUUUGCAAAUUAUACAUCAAUCAAUAUAUGAUACAUAAUUUUACGGAUUAUAAAUUUUUAAUCCAAUUCAAUCCACAAAUCAAUGAAAUUCAACACAAAUCCAAUCCAUACACAUGUGGAUCGGAUGCGGAUUUGAUUUAAUCCAUAUCUAAUCUAUCAUUUUGUAGAUUGAUUUGCGGGCUAAAAUUUUUUUAUCAUGUCCUAUCCAUAAAUUAAUUAAAUAAAAAAAUUAAUGUAAAAAUAAUUUUAAUACCAAUCAAAUUUAAAAUUAAAUAUGAUUUAAAUAAAUUACUUUUUUAAAUAAAGCUAGAAAAUACCUUCAAACUUCAAAAUAUAACACACCGAAAUAGAAAAGAAAAAAUCUCAUUUAUUUAGAUCAGUACAUGAAAGUUAAUUUGUUUAGAUUAGCUGUAUAUAUUUUUUAAUUAUUUUUAUUUUAUUUUAUUAUUGGAUGAGAUAUAAUAUGGUAUUAAUGUAACUAUAUUUUAACUUAUUUAUUCAUUAGUAAAUGUCAUCUUUACCAAUUUAAUUUUUUAUUAAAUAAAUAUAUAUUUUUGCAGAUUUGCAAAUUUUUGAGGAUUCAUAGAAAUAAAUCAAUAUCCAAUUCACCGAUUGUAGAUUUUUAAAUUUUCAAUCCAAUCUAAUCCAUCAAUUCACUGAUCGAAUUUUUACGGAUUAAAUUUUUACAGAUCAGACAAAUUGAGCGAAUUAAAUUGAAUUCUAACACCCCCUAAUAAAUUAUAUAUGCUUUUCAGUUCAAUAUUCACGAUCGAACAAAGAACUAGUCAACUUGACUUAGAAAAAGUUCACCAACCCAGCCAAAACUACGAGCCACGAACCUAGCCAAUAGCCACGAGCUGAACAACCACGAACCCAGCCGGCAGCCACAGAUACACAUCAACCCACAAACCAGCCAGUAUUGAGCUUUUGGGAAGAAGGAGAGACUAAUUGUUUCAGUUUUCAUGAACACAUAGCUCUAUUAAUUGAUUCUUGAUCUUGGAAGGAGAUAACUUGGAUAAUCUUUUUCCAAAUAUGGCAAUUGAACUCGAAGGAUUGACACUUGGUGGAAAUCAAUGCUUUGUUCUCAUUAUUGCUCUUAUUAUUCUGCUUCUGCACACAGUUUGGCUUGACAAUCUUAGCCUUCUUUGGCUAUUGGCAACCAUAUCAACUUUGUCCCCAAAUUCAACUGAUUUUUGUUAUAUGAAUUUAAUUUGAUCCGAUCCUAACCCAAAUUAAUUCAAAAUAUUCAUUUGAUCCAAACUUAACCGGAUUAGAUUUGAUUGGAUUUAAAGUUCGGAUUAUAUUCAGAUAAUCUUUGUUUCACCCCGAACAAUUCAAAGUCAGAUUGGAUGGAUCUAAAUUUGAGGUUGCCACCCUAAAUGAAAUUGUGAGGAAACAUUGAGCAUGACUCUUUAGUCUUAAGUCCUGAUUAAGAUUGAUGUGCAAUAUUUUUUAAGAUAUAGCCGCUGUAGAAAAAAAUUAUAACUAUCAAAUAAAAGUUAAUAGUAUGUAGUAAAUAUAAAUUUUAAAUAAUAAUUUUGACAAAAUUAUUAAAGAUAUUGUUGAUGCUGAAAUCUGGUCACCCUCGGCCUGACCAGAUUGUAUCACCAACGAUUGUAUUGACAAUUACAAAGAGGCUGCACUCCACUAACCUUAGCAAUUGCUCGAGCUCCUGGGACUCAAAUCAUUCUUCCUCUUCUUUCCAAACCUGCGUUCACUGAAACCAAUCAGAGACACCAGUGAUUUUUCCGGCAUAAACCCUCCGAUACUUAAGUCAGUAUACGGAGUUUACAGAAAAAUUGUAUAAUUUAUGGUUGCGCACACUCACUGCGAUGUUCUUAAAGUAAAAUUUGUUUAAGGUUGUUCUGUAGUAAUGCCUUAUAUCAAUUCGGCAGAGUUUCCCCCCUCUCUCUU
rnacentral:lncRNA from 1 species